rnacentral:lncRNA from 1 species
GGCCACCCGUGCAGACUUUACCCACUCGAGCCUUGUGAGAACGUGAACACAUCUUUCCUGACAGUGAUGGAUGGAUGGAGAGGGUUGUAUCUGAGAGCUUCCAGCUGCUCCUCAGUUCCCCAACCAUGGGAGUUUUUCCAGAUGUCCACGCUGUGGAGGGAACACUUGGAAAACACUGACUUACCCUUAAAAAGCAACAAAUACAACAGAAAACCCCACUACCCCGUCACGGACUGGGGAGAUGGCUUAAUGGGUAACCUGUGCAAGCUUGAGGAUCUGAACUCAAGUCCCCAGAAGCCACGAAAAGCCAGAUUCAGAAGCACUCACAUCUGUAAUUCCAGAGGCUGUAUGGGGAGACAGGACGCACAGCCAGGACAGUCCCUGGCUGCCUGUGGGUCAGCUUGCCUGGUGUAUGCAGGCCAAACAAGAGACACUGUCUUAAAACAGGAGCAGCCCUGAUGUUGCCCUCUGACCUCCACACACACGUGCAGGCAUUAAAAAUAUGUAUUUUACUUAGAAAUAAAAGUAUGUAUACUUG